UGCUCAGACUGAAGUCUGAACGCAACAGUUUCAAGAAUACAACAACGUAAUCUGCUGUAGUGAUCGGUGUUGGCCAAGGGGUGAAUUUAAAUAAAAAGGAUUUGUCGGUCAAACCUUACCAGUAACUGAUUAGUUUGAACUCACCAUAUGCUGCAUUUAGAGAUGUGGUCUCUCUCUCUCUCUCUCUCUCUCUCUCUCUCUCUCUCUCUCUCUGUGCAUCUCCAAGUGUAUCAGCUUCUUCAUACACACUCAGCUUUGUUACACACAUUUUACAAAGCGGUCUACCCCCACCCGCAAGUUUCAUGUGAUCUGGUUCCUUCACGCUCUUAAAACAUGCUAGCUGGCACUACAAAAAUAACACACUGACACUAUCAGUAUCAGGUAUCGUUCUGCUACACUACUCACAAUCAUGUUCUUAUACUACAGUGCCUGUAGUGUGUUGUGGUGAAGAGGUAGUUGAGCUGCGAGGUGAAGCUUUGUUUACCCAUCAGUCUACGUUCCUACCCUCAUCUGUGGGUAGUGACUAAAAGAAUGGUGUGGAAAUGAGUUUUGUUGACAGGUUGGCUGGACUCUCCCUGAGAGAAAGUUUGAUUAUGUGGAAGAGACUCAAAGUAGAGCCACUGCUCCUCCACAUCAAGAGGAGCCAGUUGAAAUGGUUCAGGCAUCUGGAAAGGAUGCAACCUGGAUACCUCCCUAGAGAGAUGUUACGGAUACGUCCACAACAAGGAAAAGACCAUGGAGAAGACCCAGGACACACCAGAGACUACAUGUCUCAAUUGGUCUGGGAAUGCCUUGGAGUCCUCCCAGAAAGAUGGGACUGUGGAAAGAAAGGUCUGGAGUUCCCCAGCUACUGACCGUCAACAACCAUGAGUUAGCGUCAGUUCACACCAUUCUGAGUGUCAGUCUUGGAGCUGAUUUGUGACACCUGGCUGUGCCGCAAAGCUGACCCUGUAUGACGUCAAUAGAAAAAACCCUGGCAUGGACCAAUUACUGCCAUGGAUUUCAUGGUUCAUGAAGAUAAGUUCACGUUCAACACACUAAUGUUGUCACCUUGUACUGAUUGUCUGUAAGUCAAAUAAGUAAUAAUAAUAAGUAAAAUGUCCUCAUUGCUCUGUUGCAGACAGGAGAGCUCUGCAAAGAGUGGUGAAGGCGGCACAAAGGACUGUUGGAGCCAACCUCCCCACUGCCACAGACAUAUACACCUCCAGAUGCAGAAAAAGGGCCUCCUGCAUCAUGAAGGACCCUACUCACCCAGCACACUCACUUUUUGUCCCGCUCCCCUCAGGUAGGAGGUUGCGGAGCAUCAAAUGCAGGACAACCAGACUGAGAAACAACUUCAUUCCAGAAGCUGUGCGACUCUUAAACUCCCAUCACUCUCCCUUAUUGCACUGCUCUUAGCUAUACACUUUUCCUACCUGUAAUAUUGUGCUCUUGUAGCGACUUUAUAUUUUAUAUUUUAUACUUUAACAUUUUAUAUAUUUUUUAUAUUUUUUUAUUUGGAUGUAACUGGGGCUGUGACUCUUAAUUUCGUUCCAUCUCAUGUAACAUGUGAUGUGAAUGACAAUAAAGUAUCUUGAAUCUUGAA